GAUGAACGCUGGCGGCGUGCCUAAUACAUGCCAGUCGAGCGAACAGACGAGGAGCUUGCUCCUCUGACGUUAGCGGCGGACGGGUGAGUAACACGUGGAUAACCUACCUAUAAGACUGGGAUAACUUCGGGAAACCGGAGCUAAUACCGGAUAAUAUAUUGAACCGCAUGGUUCAAUAGUGAAAGACGGUUUUGCUGUCACUUAUAGAUGGAUCCGCGCCGCAUUAGCUAGUUGGUAAGGUAACGGCUUACCAAGGCAACGAUGCGUAGCCGACCUGAGAGGGUGAUCGGCCACACUGGAACUGAGACACGGUCCAGACUCCUACGGGAGGCAGAAGUAGGGAAUCUUCCGCAAUGGGCGAAAGCUUGACGGAGCAACGCCGCGUGAGUGAUGAAAGUCUUCGGAUCGUAAAACGCUGUUAUUAGGGAAGAACAAAUGUGUAAGUAACUAUGCACGUCUUGACGGUACCUAAGCAGAAAGCCACGGCUAACUACGU
rnacentral:rRNA from 1 species